UAUUUUGCUUAUUCUUUACAGAACAAGACUGUGUCACAAAGACACCAGGUAGUUCACUCCUGAUAUACAUUGUAUGUAUUUAUUUGGAGAAAUACAUAUAUUAUAUUUGAUUUUAUAAAUUGAACAAAUAUUUCGGACAUAACCUCUUACUAUAUAUGAAUGUUUUUUAAACAGACGAUUUAAUGUGUUCCACUCACAUCAAGAGCUCUCUGAAGUAAAUGAAGUGGACAGGGUUGUAGGAUUACAUGUACCACACUAUGUGCAUGAGCAUGAUUAUGCACAGAAAGAAGAUGAAGUAGACAAUCAUAUUCUCCUGAAGGAUGAUGACAGUAAUAUAAGUGACAAAGAGAUAGAAUGGUUCAUAGGCAAACGUGUAAUAGAACUAGGAUAUGUUGUGAACAAACGAAUGAGGGCUGUAAAUUUUGUGGACUUCCGUUGAAGGUAUAUGAUAUUUGUAGUGAAGUGAGAUACGGACUUGGUUCAUUACUGCGAAUAAACUGUAAAAAUUGCAAAAAAGUUACUUCUGUCUCGAGUGGAAAGAGACACUCGCGCUUGGAUGAUCAUGCAAGCAGAGCAUUUGAAUGAAAACGCAAAGCCUGCUUUAGGAAUGCUACAUGCAAGCAUAGGGGAGAAAAAGGUAAAUGAAAAAUUGUUUCUUUCACCUGGGAUAGUUACAUGCACAAUUGCAUUAAAAACAGACUGAAAAGAAAGAAAGACACAGAAGAUACAAUGGAGUACAAGAAAAUAAGAGCAUUGAAGAAAGUCGAUAGCAAGAACAUCAAGAAUCAUCGGCAGUGAAAGAGGGGAACAAAUACGAAACUGAUGUUGACAUCAUGAACAACACUGACAACAGCAUUAUAGAAAUACCCCCUCCUCUCACAAAACCCCAUCUAACAGCAUUGCAGCUAGGCAGUAUACAUUUGUAUACUUUGACUUGGAAAGAACAGGUCUUGAUUGUGAAGUAACACAGAUUGGAGCGUAUACUGAUGAUAAAGCAUUUUCCCAGUAUGUCACUCCUUCAACAAAACCCAUUUCUGCUUCUGCUAUAGAAGUGACUGGACUAGCCAUCAGAGACAAUAUCAUGUACAAGAAUGGACGUCAAGUUCUCAAUAAGACAACUCACGAAGCUUUGCAAUCAUUUAUUGCUUGGACGAAGCAAUAUACAAACAUUAUUCUUGUUGCCCACAAUGCCAUGUGUUUGAUUCAAGAGUUAUUGUGCGUGUAUUUAAAACAGUGGGAUUGUGUGUCAGUGACUUCUUGGUUGGAUUUACUGAUACUCUGCCAUUAUGUAGAGAAUCCAUCCUAAACAGAGAAUCAUAUAAGCUUAUAGAUUUGGCUAAAGACAUAUGUAGUAGGCAUUAUGAUGCUCAUGAUGCUUUGUCUGAUGCUCAGACCUUACAAGAACUUAUGGUUUGUGUAAAAGUCUCUUCAGAUAUGUUGCUCAAACAUAUUUUCUCAACCCAGUUUGUUAUAGAAAACAUCUCUUUUGCAGACACGACAAGCAGAUAUUUAUGUUCUUUACAACAUCUUGUAGAUAGCAAUAUCUUGUCAAAAAUCACUGCAAAUAAAAUUGCAUCAUCUGGCCUUCAUUUCCAGCACCUUUCUCUUGCCUGUCAGAGAGAUGCAGUAAAUGGAAUAAAGUUUGUAUUGUCUCACAAUUAUGCAACAGGUAAAGUGUGCGUUACUUCAAAUUCUAGGAUUAUUUCUU